rnacentral:lncRNA from 1 species
AAGAUGCUAAAUUGAAGUCUUGAUGUCCUCCAGCUUCCAUUUACUAGACCAGGGGCAGUGGCCAGGAAUGAACCCUAUGGAGCAUCAUCCUUGGAACCAGGUCACUUGAUGAACACAGUCUGUAGCUUCAAUGACUGGCUUAAGAACUGUUACUCGGGAGAGGAACAAUAGCCAGAGGUGGGCUAGGAGGGCAAGGAGGAUGCUUAAUGCAGACAAACACCAGCCACAUCUCAAGCCCAACUUAACCUGGAACAGCAACAAGAAAGGGAGCCAGCAGGGUGGAGAGACACCCCCGCCCCAGCACACUUCUCCCACAGAAAUUGUCCGAGCUAACGCCUUUCAUAAGAGCAGAGGAACUGCAGCGCCUCUGCACCUCCCACCAAGUCACAGGGCAUCCAUUGUCCGAUCCGUUCGUGACUCCGGGGGUCAUGUCGGCAGCACUGACGCAAAUAAAUGCAUGGCAGAGUCCACACUGAGCUCUCAGUGGAGUACCGAGUAGUCCUCUGAGGUGGUCAACCGGAUAUGUGACGAGCCUCGGGCGGUCAUCUGAGCACAUGAGCACACAAUGCUCGCACAGGAAGUGAUUCAAUUCUGUAUCCUUAUGCGGUCAGGCUGAGCUUGAUGCCAAGUAGAUUAUUACCGCUGUGGCAAGCCCGUGGUCAUCGUCUACUCUUCCAGUACAGGUACGAAAUCAACACUUUGGUCCUGAUACCAGACACUCCGAGUGCCAAGGGCAGGCGAGUGCAGUGAAGACUGUCCACGGAUCGUGUCCACCUUUGCAAGAUAGCAGUGUUUUCUUAGGGGAAGAAUAUGAAGGGAUCUAAAAUAAGAUCCUUGGGCCAUCACUGGAAAGGAAGGCAGAAGCACCCCCCACCACCACCACCAUCAAAGGGUACUUCAAGGGUGCUACAAAGCCAUGUCCUCAGAGCCCCUCAGCGACCACUGGCCUUGAGUGUGUACAAGCUGACGGCAGAGUGAUGGUGUAAAUUGUGUCCAAGUCAUGAACUUACCUUCCGGGAGAGCAAAGGGGGUGCUACCAAAAUCUACACGUGAGCAAGUGGUAUAAAGAGAAGACUGCUAAGAAGGAAGAGACUUUGAGGCUAAGACCCAGGGCAUAAAGAAGAAGUGGCCAUACCCAUGCCCUUUGUGAGCAUUAAAGUAUUACCUAUACUGUAGAUCUGGGCCGAGUAAAACAUAUCCUUAAAAAUGUAAACAGAUACUUGAAAAUAGAGACCCCAGUGGGAACUAUUUAUAAUGGC